AUAUUGAAUGUAUGAAAUUUUGGGUCCGACAUCAGUGAACUUUUUACUCUUUCAACUUCUUUUCGGAAACCACGUAAAAGGAUCAAUAUAUGAAUCUGUUAUUUUUCUCUACUGUUGAAGCAUAUGAUAAAAAGAUCAUAACAUGUCAUUUUUCAUAUCGCAUGUAUUAUCAGGCCUAGGUCAAUAUCAGCUCCGAGCCAUGCGGCUCUUGGGCUGAUAUUGAAACUAGGGCUGAUAAUAUAUGAGAUAUGAAAAAUGACAUGUAAUAAUCUGAUAAGACAGGCUAGCUGAGGUAAACACUUAUUAAUUCUUUAACAAUAUUCUAAAUAGUAUAUCUGAUGAGUUAAUAUUUUUAAUUUUAAAGUUAAUUGCUUAGUGAGUAGUUUCAAGUCAUGCACUAGUGAUUAUCUUCAUGCACCAAUGAGUUAGGUUUGUUAUAACCGUUUAGGUUUUACAAGUUUGGGGUAUGACAACUCUCUCUUUUUUAUAAUGAUUGGUUCAUUAAGUCACAUGUCUUUUUUGGAGGGAAAUUCUAUUGUCUUGGUUAUAAUUUGCUUAUAUCUUGAACUGAGGGGUGCUGAUAUAGUUUGUACUCAUAUUUAAUGGACAUCUUUGAUUUUAUAAAUAAAAAAGAUAUUGAACCAGACUAAGAUUGUACAUGAUGUAGUACCACAAGGGUUCCAGAGUUUUGUUUAUACAGGACAUUUGUACCUCAUACAAGUAUGUUGAGAGAAGUUCAGAACACACUAUUAUGUUUGAAGAGGAGUUGUCGGCACGUCAUCUUUGAAUAAAGUCAGUUGUAUUAGAAGUGAAGCCUAAACAGAAAUGAGACAUUUAUCAAAUAAUUCAAAGACUACAUGGAUUUUAUCUGGACUAGCAUUUGUUUGACCCAAAUGUGGUAUUUUUCAUAUGAAGACUUACAAGUCAAAUAAUUGGCUGUGACAAACAUGUGUAUAUAUUUGACAUGUUUAAAGACUUGAAGAACUUGUACUGCCUCCUUCAGAUUUCAGUAGAAUUUGUUUAAGACAGUAAAUUCUGAGUAUGAAUUGGAAAAUAUUUGCUCAUUUCUUAUUUUCUUUCUUGAAACUUAUUACAAAAUAAAUUCUUAUAUACUAAUUCUUGAAAUUUACAAGUUUAUUUUUAGCCUGAACGUACAACUCAAUGCACUGGUUAUUCACACAGAAAACUACAUUUAUCUCUCAGCCAUAUUAAAAGAAAAUGAUAAAUGGUAGGAUUUCAAAUGAG